rnacentral:tRNA from 1 species
GCUCGUCUAGCUCAGUCGGUAGAACGCAAGGUUCUUAACCUUGAGGUCGUGGGUUCGAGCCCUAUGGUGGGUG